rnacentral:rRNA from 1 species
UACGUAGGGUGCGAGCGUUGUCCGGAAUUAUUGGGCGUAAAGGGCUCGUAGGCGGUCUGUCGCGUCGGGAGUGAAAACUCAGGGCAUAACCCUGAGCCUGCUUCCGAUACGGGCAGACUAGAGGUAUGCAGGGGAGAACGGAAUUCCUGGUGUAGCGGUGGAAUGCGCAGAUAUCAGGAGGAACACCGGUGGCGAAGGCGGUUCUCUGGGCAUUACCUGACGCUGAGGAGCGAAAGUGUGGGGAGCGAACAGG